CUGUCCCUCUUGGCGAUGGCCUGAGAACCAAGCAUCACUUCCCCGCUUACCCCACUCGGCUCCUCGCCAAACUUGCACUCCAGAUAUUCUAUCUUAGAUCUGCUAAUCUUGAAACCUUAGACUCAAGGGUCUGUCUAAAUAUCUCUAACCUUUCACUAACACCGGCCCUCGUCUCGUCUAUCAAUAUUAUAUCACCAGCAAAGAGCAUACACCAAGGCACAUCCCCUUGGAUAUGUCGGGUCAGAGCAUCCAUCACUANNNN
rnacentral:lncRNA from 1 species